ACAGUACUUUUCUAUGGAGUGCUGCUCGUUUUCAACAUGAUCGUCCUUUUUUGUGCUUAAUUGUGCAAAAUUGAUAGUGGGGACGCGCAGUGUGGUGCCGUUGAAUAGUCGCACUGUUUCUCCUUCUCUUCGGGGUUGGAGGGACAAUUGUCGAUCAGUCGGUUUCGGAGCGUGCACACUGGUACCCGAAAGAUGGUGAACUAUGCUUGAGCAGAAUGAAGCCAGAGGAAACUCUGGUGGAAGUUCGUAGCGGUGUUGACGUGCAAAUCACUCGUCUGACUUGAGUGUAGGGGCGAAAGACUAAUCGAACCAUCUAGUUGCUGGUUCCUUCCGAAGUUUCCCUCAGGAUAGCUGGCAUUUGUGUGUAACAAUUUUAUCCGGUAGAGCGAAUGAUUAGAGGUGUUGGGAACGCAAUGUUCUCAGCCUAUUCUCAAACUUCGAAUGGGUAAGCAAGGCGUUUUGCUUUGAUUUUACGAUGAAAUCGCCCAAUUAGAAUGCAUAAAUGCCUAGUGGGCCAAUUUUGGUAAGCAGAACUGGCGAUGUGGAAUGAACCAAAAGUCAGGUUAAGGUGCCAGACAUUGGCGCUCAUGAAAUACCAGAAAAGGUGUUGGUCGAUAUAGACAGCAGGACGGUGGCCAUGGAAGUUGGAAUCCGCCAAGGAGUGUGUAACAACUCACCUGCCGAAUCGACUAGCCCUGAAAAUGGAUAGCGUUUGAGCGCCAGGCCCAUACCUGACCGUCUCAGUUACGCACUUUUGUUGUUUCAAUGAUGAAGGUGUAAUGAACGUUGAGACGGGUAGGAAGGUCGCGACAGUGUUGCUUUGAAGAGUUUUGAGCGUGAGCUCGCUCGGAGCCGCUGUUGGUGCAGAUCUUGGUGGUAGUAGCAAAUAUUCAAGUGAGAACCUUGAAGGCUGAAGUGGAGCAAGGUUCCAUGUGAACAGCAGUUGGACAUGGGUCAGUCGAUCCUAAGAAAACGGCGAAAGCUUGUUCGAAUUUACGACAUAAAAAAUGUAAAACUGUGUGUGUGUAGUGUGCUUGUGUGUGUACUAUACUGAUAUAGCAGUAGUGGUGGUGGUGGUUUGUCAGUCAGCAGUAGUGUUUGUCUGUGGCAGUGCUGCUGCUGCUGCUGCUGCUGCUGCUGCUAUUGUUUACUUGCUGUUGUUGUGUGUUGUUGUACACACACACCCACACAAUUCUGUGUGCAGUUGUCGUAUGUUUUCGAAAGGGAAUCCGGUUGAUAUUCCGGAACCGAGUAACGGAGACAAAGAGUAGCGCUUUAAUCUUCCGGUUGGCGUUCAACUCAAUCGCGCGGUAACGCAAGCGAACUCGGAAAAUGACCGUCGUGAGUUUCGAAAAGAGUUUUCUUUUCUUUUUAAGGGACGCAUUCCCUGGAACCGGGUUGUCCGGAGAUAGGGAUUCUGGUAUCCAUAAAACGCCGACUCUUUCACGGUGUUCGGAGCGCUCUCGUCGGUACGUGAAAAUCCGAGCGACGCCUGGUAAAUCUCGUACUUGGUCGUACUGAUAUCCGCAGCAGGUCUCCAAGGUGAAUAGCCUCUGGCCGAUAGAAUAAUGUAGGUAAGGGAAGUCGGCAAAACGGAUCCGUAACUUCGGAACAAGGAUUGGCUCUAAGGGCUGGGCCGAUCGGGCUGAGGUUUCAAGCGUGCAGUGUAUGCUUGGCUGAGCUGUGCUGAGGAUUGAUUAGCUUGGUGCCGUUUGUUGACCCAAGCGGCUGUCCAGGUGGUCAUGUCUGAAGCAAAGCUGGCCGACAGACCGGCACGUGCAGAACCUGAGCUGCGCGGCUGUCAGUUUAUUUGUACAGACCGUUUCGGUCGGCAUUCAACAGCCAACUUAGAACUGGCACGGACACAAGGAAUCUGACUGUAUAAUUAAAACAAAGCAUUGCGAUGGCCGAUGAUCGGUGUUGACGCAAUGUGAUUUCUGCCCAGUGCUCUGAAUGUCAAAGUGAAGAAAUUCAACCAAGCGCGGGUAAACGGCGGGAGUAACUAUGACUCUCUUAAGGUAGCCAAAUGCCUCGUCAUCUAAUUAGUGACGCGUAUGAAUGGAUCAACAAGAUUCCUUCUGUCCCUAUCUACUAUCUAGCGAAACCACAGCCAAGGGAACGGGCUUGGCAAAAUCAGCGGGGAAAGAAGACCCUGUUGAGCUUGACUCUAGUCUGACUCUGUGAAGAGACAUGAAAGGUGUAGCAUAGGUGGGAGGCUGCAGCCGGGCACUGCUUGCGCGGUGUCUCUGUGGUCGCCAAUGAAAUACCACUACUUUGAUCGUUUCUUUACUUAUUCGGUAAAGCGAAAAAAUUGUGGCCAAUUUGGCGGUGUUUAUGUCGCUGUUGGUCAUUGUUUUCAUGUUAGAUUGAAGCUUUGUUUACAGCCGUCGCUUUGUGUCGCCAUUUGACGCAUUGUUGUACUGGGUUAUCCCGGUGUGUGGUGUAGUCAGUAUGGAUGAUCGGCGAUAGGUUUGAAGUGAUUCGCUCCGGAAACAGUGUCAGACGGGGAGUUUGACUGGGGCGGUACAUCUGUUAAACGAUAACGCAGGUGUCCUAAGGUAAGCUCAGCGAGGACAGAAACCUCGCCUAGAGUAAACGGGCACAAGCUUACUUGAUUUUGAUUUCCAGUACGAAUAAAAACCGCGAAAGCGUGGCCUAUCGAUCCUUUUGAUUGUGUAGAUUUCACGCAAGAGGUGUCAGAAAAGUUACCACAGGGAUAACUGGCUUGUGGCAGCCAAGCGUCCAUAGCGACGUUGCUUUUUGAUCCUUCGAUGUCGGCUCUUCCUAUCAUUGCGAAGCAGAAUUCGCCAAGCGUUGGAUUGUUCACCCACCAAUAGGGAACGUGAGCUGGGAUUAGACCGUCGUGAGACAGGUUAGUUUUACCCUACUGAUGACAAGUCGUUGCGAUAGUAAUCCUGCUCAGUACGAGAGGAACCGCGGGAUCAGACAUUUGGUUCAUGCGCUCGGCUGAAAGGCCGGUGGCGCGAAGCUAGCAUCUGCAAGAUUAUGACUGAACGCCUCUAAGUCAGAAUCUUUUCUAGUCAUUGGCAACGAUAAGUUGCGUCCGGACUCGAUGCGAGGAAACGACUAGGCUUUGUUGU
rnacentral:rRNA from 1 species